AAUCACUCUCUCUCUCUCUCUCUCUGCUAAGUAUAAAAAUCCUGCUGUCACCUGAAGAGGGUCAAGGACACACCUGGCUGCAGGAGGCUUCUUCUCUCUCUCUCCACCUCAGGCUCCCACUCCGGCUUGUCUCCCAGGCUCUCUGGACUCCUGGACUCCGGGCAGGGCCUAAAGUAGUCUCAGGGAGGUGGCAAUCACUGUGAUGUCACUGAUGAAACAUCUCAAAGGAACAACCUCCAAAGGCCCUUACCUGUCCACCACUCCCACUGAGGACCAACACAAGCAGAGACAUCCCUGCCGAUUCGGCUCUGGACAACGGCGCUUCCCAAGCGCCACGGUGGCUUGCCUUGUCUUGUGCCUACAAGACACCUGUCCUCUGCAGCUUCCUCUGCUGGGUACCAUAGAUUUUGACCACCGUGGUCCCAGAGGUGCGCUCACUUUGGAGCAAGAUGAUGAGGGGCGGUGGGGCAGUGCGCCUUCCGUGUGUGAUGCCCGUUGAGGAACACGAAGGAAGACCCCCUUGCUCUCGCGCCCAUGUCUUCCCAGACACGAGUUCAUGGGGAAGCCCAGCAGGGUCUACGUAGAAGUCAUAGGCAUCUUCUUAUCUCAGACCUCCCCUUCCACCACUAACACUUGAUACUCAACUUUCCCUUUCUUAGCACAGGUGGUCUCUCGGCAGGCGGCUAAGUUCCCAGAGCAAACCAACCUCUCCCGGGUCUGCUCCAUCAGGGCGCACGACGCGCGCAGACAGGUGUUGGAAUGCAGCCCCCGACACCGCUCAGGCUCCCGCCCGGGCCCCAGCACACCAGCACCCCUGCACAGACCGCACAACGCACGGCACUUCCCACCAAAUACCCCUCCGUGGAGGCCAGAGCAGAAAUUGGCUUCUAGCGCUCCAGACAGAAAGCACACUAUUUUGUGUGUCACUGCUUUCCGGUAACUCCCGGAUGAAGUUCAAAAUCGUCAGCUGCAGACACAGGAGCCUACCAUGAUCUCGCUUCUACGCUCCCUGCCCUCCGGUGCAGCAAUCCCAAACGCAGGGGCCUUCGCACGCUCUCUCCGCAUAUGCGAAUGCCAUUCCCUCUGAUUGAGCAGCCUUUCUCCCACCCCUCCACAUGCCUCACUUCUGAUGAUGAACAACGGUACCGGAAUCAAAUCACACGUCACAUUCCCUGGUCUUUAAGGCCGGGAUCCACGUAGCUCUGCACGCUACUAACUCCACCCUACUGUCAGCGCGGACCUUCUUAUCCAUCUCCCCGACUUAAGGACAGGGAUCGGGAUUGGGUCUCACCCUGUAGACACAGUGCCAAGUCAGGUAGUAUAAAGAACGUAACGGGCCACCCCAUAGAAGUUUGCUGAAUAAAAAUAUGUCUGAAUGCAAAAAUGAUUGCUUGGUUAAUAGCUGUUCAACUCUGAAGACUCAUGGGCCAAUGAAUGGUUUAAAAAAAAAGUCUCAGGCGCCUAGGUGGUACGCUGUUAAGUGUGGGAUGCUUGCUCAUACCCUCAGGUCGUGAGAUCAAGUCCCGAAUGGGGCUCCCUGCUCAGCCUGGCGUCUCCUUAAGACUCUCUCCCUCUCCCUCUGCCCCUCCUCCUGCUCACACACAUUCUCUCUCUCCAAAAUAAAUAAAUCCUUUUAAACAAUAAAAUAAUAAAAAUAAAUAAAUAAAACUCUCUAACCUUUCAACAAUCUACAUGAGGAUGAUGUUCACAGGACCUGGAGUAAUUUAAACUACUCAGGAUUUCUUCAUCUAAAAAUAGUACAUUCUAGGCUUCUUACCACUGACCAGGUCUGACAGCUGUUUUUUAGGUUGGUACUUAAUAUGCUUUAAAGAAUGAUUUUUCUCUCUAUUGAAGCUGAGAGGCAACAUAAUUUGUUGUUGGUUUUUUAGAAGGAAAUUUUAAAAUUGAGAAAUAUAAAAAAUAAUUCAAAUGUGCCUACCACACAAAAUUCAUAAUUCUUAAUAUCUUUGUCAUAUUGUUUCAUGUCUUUUAUAAAUAAGGGAAUUAAAAUAUGAUUGAUAAAGCUGAGGUCUCAUUGAACCAUUAAUGCUAUGCUCUGUCCCAUCUCCCCAGAUAAAACAGCUGCUAUGAGUUUGGGGCACAGUCCGAGUUCUAUAAUUAAACCUCUUAGAUUCAGCAUCUAGAUUAUGCUGGCCUGAUAAGUAGGUUUCCCUCCUCUCUUUCUUCUCUGAAACAGUUUGUAUAAAACAGGCAUUAUCUUUUUUUCUUUUUAAGAUUUGUAACUAUUGGUUCCUAAACUAUAUGGUCCUGGUGACCUUUUGGAGUAUGAGAGGACAUUUUUGACUACUGACUUCACCAUUUUUUAUGUUUAUAGGUCCCACUUAAUAGGUUUUCUGUUUAUUCUCAAGUCGAUUCUGGAAGUUUACUAUAUUACUAGAAAAUUGUCCAUUUAAUAUUUGUGUAACUUUUCAAAGUAUCAAAUUUUAUGUUUUCAUUUAUUUUCUCUCAGUACUUUGAAGCAAUAACUGCAUUGUCUUCUGGCUUCUAUUGCUAUGACUGAGGAGUCUGCUACUGGUCUGGUUGAUAUAUCAUUCUUUCUCUAUAGUGAUUUCUAAGAUUUUUAGUUAUUUUUUAAUGUCCUGCAUCCCUACCAUAUAUCUCAAAUUGUCCUUCAUUUCUCACAUCCUUUUUCUUUGCAUCUUGGAAGAUUCCUUUUGUUCUAGCUUUCAAUUCAUUAUCCCUCUCUUUGGCUCUAUCAAAACUACUAUUUAGCCCAUCCUUUAUAUUUUUAAAUUUUGUGACUAUAUUUUAUUUCCAAGAUUUCCCAGAGGUUAAUUUUCAUGUUUGACUCUUCUGCUCUCAAAAACUCCUAAUCUUGUUUUAUGGAUGAUAAUUCUGCCUUUUGGUAAUAUUUUUGGACAGUUUUAAACUUUAAGUCCUUUCCAAAUUAUUCUGUUAGUGUUCUUUCUUUAGUUAUAAAUUUUCUUAUUAUGGAUUUACAACUAUUUCUCAUGACGCUGAGUAUCUUCAUGUUUGUAGGACACAGGUGAUUUUGGGGGCAAAGGAAAUAGCCCUCGUCCCCCAUAUUGAAGAAGAGAACUGCAUCUCCAUCCUCUCAUGAGCAGGAUGGGUUUAGUGCUUGAUCUCAUGAAGGCAAUGAAGCCAUUGCCCUGCCUUCAGUCCCAGCUUCCAAAGUACCAGGAGCCUUCAGGCCCUGCUUACCUACGUAGUUUCCCUCUCCAUGUUUGUCCAUAGCAAUUUUUCCAAUUGUUUUUUAAUGUGAUUGUGAUCUUUCUAUUAAGUCAUUUAGCUUCUCUCGGCCUUGAUUUCUUCAUCUAUAAAACAGAGAUUGGACAGAAUAAUCUCUCAACUCACAGCUUCUACAAUUCCAUACAAUUUUAGGGUGAUAAGAAUAUUAUAAAUGAGGUUAAUUAUAAAGAAGAGAGAACAAAAUUUCCCCCCCCCAUUUAUUCCCCAUUACAUAGUUUUAUUACUGAAUUUAAUUUUUUUUUAGUAAAACAUAAAAAGUAUUUGGACAUGAUUAAAGGAAGAAGUAAAAAAAAUCCUUCCCCUCCCUCUUCCCCCU
ensembl:lncRNA